rnacentral:lncRNA from 1 species
AUUCUGGUCUCUGGAUCUGUGCACUUGCUGUUCCUUACGCUCUUCUCCCAGGGAUCUGAAAGGCUCACACCCUCACCUCCUUCAGAUGUUUGCUAAAAUGUCUUCUACCCAGUGAAGCCUUCCCCAACCACUACAUUAAAAACACACAACCAGCCCUCUCCCUCUCCCUCCUCUCCCUCUCCCCACGGUCCCCCUCUCCCCACGGUCUCCCUCUGAUGCCGAGCCGAAGCUGGACUGUACUGCUGCCAUCUCGGCUCACUGCAACCUCCCUGCCUGAUUCUCCUGCCUCAGCCUGCCGAGUGCCUGCGAUUACAGGCGCAUGCCGCCACGCCUGACUGGUUUUCGUACUUUUUUGGUGGAGACGGGGUUUCGCUGUGUUGGCCGGGCUGGUCUGCAGCUCCUAACCGCGAGUGAUCUGCCAGCCUCGGCCUCCCGAGGUGCCGGGUUUGCAGACGGAGUCUGGUUCACUCAGUGCUCAAUGGUGCACAGGCUGGAGUGCAGUGGCGUGAUCGAGGCUCGCUACAACCUCCACCUCCCAGCCGCCUGCCUUGGCCUCCCAAAGUGCCGAGAUUGCAGCCUCUGCCUGGCCCCCCAUCGUCUGGGACGUGAGGAGCCCCUCUGCCUGGCUGCCCAGUCUGGAAAGUGAGGAGCGUCUCUGCCCGGCCGCCAUCCCAUCUAGGAAGUGAGGAGCACCUCUUCCCGGCCGCCAUCCCAUCUAGGAAGUGAGGGGAGUCUCUGCCCGGCCGCCCAUCGUCUGAGAUGUGGGGAGCACCUCUGCCCCGCCGCCCCGUCUGGGAUGUGAGGAGCGCCUCUGCCCGGCCGCCCCAUCUGAGAAGUGAGGAGACCCUCCGCCCGGCAGCCACCCCAUCCGGGAGGGAGGUGGGGGUCAGCCCCCGCCAGGCCAGCCACCCCAUCCGGGAGGGAGGUGGGGGUCAGCCCCCCGCCCGGCCAGCCACCCCGUCUGGGAGGGAGGUGGGGGGGCCAGCCCCCGUCCGGGAGGAAGGUGGGGUGUCAGCCCCCCGCCCGGCCAGCCGCCCCGUCCGGGAGGGAGGUGGGGGGUCAGCCCCCCGCCCGGCCAGCCGCCCCGUCCGGGAGGGAGGUGGGGGGGUCAGCCCCCCGCCCGGCCAGCCGCCCCGUCCGGGAGGUGAGGGGCGCCUCUGCCCGGCCGCCCCUACUGGGAUGUGAGGAGCCCCUCUGCCCGGCCACCACCCCGUCUGGGAGGUGUACUCAACAGCUCAUUGAGAACGGGACGGGAUGACAAUGGCGGUUUUGUGUAAUAGAAAGGGGGGAAAGGGGGGGAAAAGAUUGAGAAAUCGGAUGGUUGCCGUGUCUGUGUAGAAAGAAGUAGACAUGGGAGACUUUUCAUUUUGUUCCAUACUAAGAAAAAUUCUUCUGCCUUGGGAUCCUGCUAAUCGGUGACCUUACCCCCAACCCUGUGCUCUCUGAAACAUGUGCUGUGUCCACUCAGAGUUGAAUGGAUUAAGGGCGGUGCAAGAUGUGCUUUGUUAAACAGAUGCUUGAAGGCAGCGUGCUGGUUAAGAGUCAUCACCACUCCCUAAUCUCAAGUACCCAGGGACACAAACACUGCGGAAGGCCGCAGGGUCCUCUGCCUAGGAAAACCAGAGACCUUUGUGCACUUGUUUAUCUGCUGACCUUCCCUCCACUAUUGUCCUAUGACCCUGCCAAAUCCCCCUCUGCGAGAAACACCCAAGAAUGAUCAAUAAAAAAAA